UACGUAGGGUGCAAGCGUUGUCCGGAAUUAUUGGGCGUAAAGAGCUCGUAGGCGGUUUGUCGCGUCUGCUGUGAAAACCCGAGGCUCAACCUCGGGCCUGCAGUGGGUACGGGCAGACUAGAGUGCGGUAGGGGAGAUUGGAAUUCCUGGUGUAGCGGUGGAAUGCGCAGAUAUCAGGAGGAACACCGAUGGCGAAGGCAGAUCUCUGGGCCAUAACUGACGCUGAGGAGCGAAAGCGUGGGGAGCGAACAGG
rnacentral:rRNA from 1 species